GUACUCUAAUAUUGACCCAAUUCACAUGUGUUGAGGUGGAUUGAGGUGUAAAUUAGUUUAAGUUACACCUCAAUCUACCUCAAUACAUGUGGAUUGAGAUCAAUAUUAGAGU
rfam:Zea mays cultivar B73 chromosome 2, whole genome shotgun sequence.